rnacentral:rRNA from 1 species
UGCCAGCAGCCGCGGUAAUACCGAGGGUGUAAGCGUUCUUCGGAAUUACUGGGCGUACAGCGCGCGUAGGCGGCUAUUUAAGUCAGAUGUGAAAGUCCACGGCUCAACCGUGGAAGUGCAUUUGAAACUGGAUAGCUUGAGUAUUGGAGGGGGUAGUGGAAUUCCCGGUGUAGAGGUGAAAUUCGUAGAUAUCGGGAGGAAUACCGGUGGCGAAGGCGACUACCUGGCCAGAUACUGACGCUGAGGUGCGAAAGCGUGGGGAGCAAACAGGAUUAGAUA